rnacentral:tRNA from 1 species
UGGCACAUAGCUGCCAUUCAGAUGGUUGCGCACCGUCAUGGGGUGUCGGAGGUCGGAGGUUCAAAUCCUCUCGUGCCGACCA